rnacentral:rRNA from 1 species
CCUACGGGCGGCAGCAGUGGGGAAUAUUGGACAAUGGGGGCAACCCUGAUCCAGCCAUGCCGCGUGUGUGAAGAAGGCCCUCGGGUUGUAAAGCACUUUCAGUGAGGAAGAACGCCUGGUGGUUAAUACCCAUCAGGAAAGACAUCACUCACAGAAGAAGCACCGGCUAACUCCGUGCCAGCAGCCGCGGUAAUACGGAGGGUGCGAGCGUUAAUCGGAAUUACUGGGCGUAAAGCGCGCGUAGGUGGCUUGAUAAGCCGGUUGUGAAAGUCCCGGGCUCAACCUGGGAACGGCAUCCGGAACUGUCAAGCUAGAGUGCAGGAGAGGAAGGUAGAAUUCCCGGUGUAGCGGUGAAAUGCGUAGAGAUCGGGAGGAAUACCAGUGGCGAAGGCGGCCUUCUGGACUGACACUGACACUGAGGUGCGAAAGCGUGGGUAGCAAACAGGAUUAGAUACCCGGGUAGUC